GUUAUUUUGGCAGAAAAGUGCAAUAGAUUUAGAAUCUUUAGAUGUAUAUUUAUAUACAAGUAACA
rnacentral:tRNA from 1 species